rnacentral:rRNA from 1 species
AACGAACGCUGGCGGCGUGCCUAACACAUGCAAGUCGAACGAGAAAGGGGCUUCGGUCCUGAGUAAAGUGGCGCACGGGUGAGUAACACGUAGGUAACCUGCCUCUAAGAUCGGGAUAACCUGUCGAAAGAUGAGCUAAUACCGGAUAAGACCACGGCCUUUUCGGAGGAUGAGGUCAAAGGUAGCCUCUGCAUGCAAGCUAUCACUUAGAGAUGGGCCUGCGCACCAUUAGCUAGUUGGUAGGGUAACGGCCUACCAAGGCAAAGAUGGUUAGCUGGUCUGAGAGGAUGAUCAGCCACACUGGAACUGAGACACGGUCCAGACUCCUACGGGAGGCAGCAGUGGGGAAUAUUGCGCAAUGGGCGAAAGCCUGACGCAGCAACGCCGCGUGGGUGAUGAAGGCCUUCGGGUCGUAAAGCCCUGUCGGAGGGAACGAAUGCUCCCGAGGUUAACAGCCCCGGGAAGUGACGGUACCUUCAAAGGAAGCACCGGCUAACUCUGUGCCAGCAGCCGCGGUAACAC